rnacentral:rRNA from 1 species
GGGAUAACAGUUAGAAAUGACUGCUAAUACCGCAUAAGCGCACAGUAUCGCAUGGUACGGUGCGAAAAACUCCGGUGGUGUGAGAUGGAUCCGCGUCUGAUUAGCCAGUUGGCGGGGUAACGGCCCACCAAAGCGACGAUCAGUAGCCGACCUGAGAGGGUGACCGGCCACAUUGGGACUGAGACACGGCCCAAACUCCUACGGGAGGCAGCAGUGGGGAAUAUUGCACAAUGGGGGAAACCCUGAUGCAGCGACGCCGCGUGAGUGAAGAAGUAUUUCGGUAUGUAAAGCUCUAUCAGCAGGGAAGAUAAUGACGGUACCUGAUUAAGAAGCCCCGGCUAACUACGUGCCAGCAGCCGCGGUAAUACGUAGGGGGCAAGCGUUAUCCGGAUUUACUGGGUGUAAAGGGAGCGUAGACGGCAUGGCAAGUCUGAAGUGAAAGCCCGGGGCUCAACCCCGGGACUGCUUUGGAAACUGUCAAGCUAGAGUGCAGGAGAGGUAAGUGGAAUUCCUAGUGUAGCGGUGAAAUGCGUAGAUAUUAGGAGGAACACCAGUGGCGAAGGCGGCUUACUGGACUGUAACUGACGUUG